rnacentral:rRNA from 1 species
CUUGGGGGGGACAGUGUAAGUAGGACAGUUUGGUUGGGGCGACCGCCUUUUAAAGAGUAACGAAGGUGCGCUUAAGGUGCGCAAUUAAUGACUGAAGCCUGACUGCGAGGGGUACACCCCGAGCAGACACCCCUAAGCCCCCCCGAAGGGCGGCGGUGGGGUGGGCCAUAGU